rnacentral:rRNA from 1 species
GACCGCGUACUUUUUGUAGAACGGUCCGGCGAGUUACGCUUACUGGCAAGGUUAAGCACUUCAGGUGUGGAGCCGUAGGGAAACCAAGUCUUAAGAGGGCCUUAAGUCAGUAGGAGUAGACCCGAAACCGGGUGAUCUAUCCAUGUCCAGGUUGAAGCUGCCGUAAGAGGUAGUGGAGGACCGAACCCACAUCCGUUGAAAAGGGUGGGGAUGAGGUGUGGAUAGGGGAGAAAUUCCAAUCGAACCCGGAGAUAGCUGGUUCUCCUCGAAAUAGCUUUAGGGCUAGCCUCGAUACAGAUUUGCGGAGGUAGAGCACUGAAUUUCCUAGGGGGCGUCAAAGCCUACCGAAGAAUAUCAAACUCCGAAUGCCGCGUAAUCGAUUAUCGGGAGUCAGACUGCACGAGAUAAGUUGGGCGGUCAAAAGGGAAAGAGCCCAGACCUUCAGUUAAGGUCCCCAAGUGCGCGUUAAGUGGAAAAGGAUGUGGGAUUUCGAAGACAACCAGGAUGUUGGCUCAGAAGCAGCCAUCCAUUCAAAGAGUGCGUAAUAGCUCACUGGUCGAGAGGUCCUGCGCCGAAAAUGUCCGGGGCUGAAACGCGCCACCGAAACUAAGGAACCGAAAGGUUGGUAGAGGAGCAUUGCAUGCGGGAAGAAGCAGUACCGGAAGGAGCUGUGGACUGCAUGGAAGAGAGAAUGCCGGAAUGAGUAGCGAGAAUAAGGUGGGAAUCCUUAUGGCCGAAUAUCCAAGGUUUCCAGAGUAAAGCUGAUCUGCUCUGGGUAAGUCGGGGCCUAAGGCGAGGACGAGAGUCGUAGCCGAUGGACAACAGGUGGAGAUUCCUGUACUGCGGUAUGACAGAACUGUGGGGACACGUAAGGAAAGCGGAAGCCGGGAAUGGAGAGCCCGGUGCAAGCGGGGUACCAGUCACUUUGGCAAAUCCGGGUGGCAAUGGGAAGCCGUGAUGCGGAGUGAAAUAAAGUAACGAAGUCCGUGAGCCAUGCGUCAAGAAAAGCCGCUAUCGUUUAUACCGUACCCGUACCGUAAACCGACACAGGUGGAUGAGGAGAGAAUCCUAAGGCCGGCGGAAGAAGCAUUGUCAAGGAACUCGGCAAAAUGGCCCCGUAACUUAGGGAUAAGGGGUGCCUGGGAAACCAGGCCGCAGAGAAUAGGCUCAAGCAACUGUUUAGCAAAAACACAGGUCUAUGCGAAACCGAAAGGUGAGGUAUAUGGGCUGACGCCUGCCCGGUGCUGGAAGGUUAAGAGGAGAGGUUAGCGGUAACGCGAAGCUUUGAAUUUAAGCCCCAGUAAACGGCGGCCGUAACUAUAACGGUCCUAAGGUAGCGAAAUUCCUUGUCGGGUAAGUUCCGACCCGCACGAAAGGCGUAAUGAUUUGAGCGCUGUCUCGACAAUGCAUCCGGUGAAAUUGAAGUACCAGUGAAGAUGCUGGUUACCUGCGCCAGGACGGAAAGACCCCAUGGAGCUUUACUCCAGUCUGGUACUGGGACUCGGUAUUGCAUGUACAGGAUAGGUGGGAGGCUAGGAGAUGGUAACGCCAGUUGCCAUGGAGCCGCUGUUGGGAUACCACCCUUGCAGUAUUGGGUUUCUAACCAGCCGCCGUGACCCGGCGGUGGGACAAUGCCAGACGGGGAGUUUGACUGGGGCGGUCGCCUCCGAAAGGGUAUCGGAGGCGCCCAAAGGUUCCCUCAGAAUGGACGGAAACCAUUCGAAGAGUGCAAAGGCAGAAGGGAGCUUGACUGCGACACCGACGGGUGGAGCAGGUACGAAAGUAGGGCUUAGUGAUCCGGUGGUAUUAAGUGGGAAUGCCAUCGCUCAACGGAUAAAAGCUACCCUGGGGAUAACAGGCUUAUCACUCCCAAGAGUUCACAUCGACGGAGUGGUUUGGCACCUCGAUGUCGGCUCAUCGCAUCCUGGGGCUGUAGUAGGUCCCAAGGGUUGGGCUGUUCGCCCAUUAAAGCGGUACGCGAGCUGGGUUCAGAACGUCGUGAGACAGUUCGGUCCCUAUCCGGCGUGGGCGUAGGAUAUCUGAGAGGAGCUGUCCUUAGUACGAGAGGACCGGGAUGGACGGGCCGCUGGUGCAUCGGUUAGACUGCCAAGUCUACGGCCGAGUAGCCAAGCCCGGAAGGGAUAAACGCUGAAGGCAUCUAAGCGUGAAGCCCCCCUUAAGAUGAGAUAUCCCAUUCGAAAGAAGUAAACCCCCUUGA